UUUUCCGUACGCCACAUUUCCCGCGCCCCACCGCGGGGCGGGGAUUCGGCGCUGGGCUCUUCCCUGUUCACUCGCCAUUACUGAGGGAAUCCUGGUUAGUUUCUUUUCCUCCGCUGACAAAUAUGCUUAAAUUCAGCGGGUCGCCACGUCUGAUCUGAGCGGCGCCGGGGAGUGGGUCUUCCGUACGCCACAUUUCCCGCGCCCCACCGCGGGGCGGGGAU
rnacentral:lncRNA from 1 species